AGAACCACAAAGUCGGUUGGAAUC
rnacentral:siRNA from 1 species